rnacentral:rRNA from 1 species
AUUGAACGCUGGCGGCAGGCCUAACACAUGCAAGUCGAGCGGAUGACGGGAGCUUGCUCCUUGAUUCAGCGGCGGACGGGUGAGUAAUGCCUAGGAAUCUGCCUGGUAGUGGGGGACGACGUUUCGAAAGGAACGCUAAUACCGCAUACGUCCUACGGGAGAAAGCAGGGGACCUUCGGGCCUUGCGCUAUCAGAUGAGCCUAGGUCGGAUUAGCUAGUUGGUGGGGUAAUGGCUCACCAAGGCGACGAUCCGUAACUGGUCUGAGAGGAUGAUCAGUCACACUGGAACUGAGACACGGUCCAGACUCCUACGGGAGGCAGCAGUGGGGAAUAUUGGACAAUGGGCGAAAGCCUGAUCCAGCCAUGCCGCGUGUGUGAAGAAGGUCUUCGGAUUGUAAAGCACUUUAAGUUGGGAGGAAGGGCAGUAAGUUAAUACCUCGCUGUUUUGACGUUACCGACAGAAUAAGCACCGGCUAACUCUGUGCCAGCCGCCGCCGUAA